rnacentral:snRNA from 1 species
GGAUGUGAGGGCGAUCUGGCUGCGACAUCUGUCACCCCAUUGAUCGCCAGGGUUGACUCGGCUGAUCUGGCUGGCUAGGCGGGUGUCCCCUUCCUCCCUCACCGCUCCAUGUGCGUCCCUCCCGAAGCUGCGCGCUCAGUCGAAGAGGACGACCAUCCCCGAUAGAGGAGGACCGUUCUUCAGUCAAGGGUAUACGAGUAGCUGCGCUCCCCUGCUAGAACCUCCAAACAAGCUCUCAAGAAUUAGGUGUUCAAGCUUGAGUUCCAAAUAAUUCCAUAAACUAAAAGACAGCCAAAGGGAAUAAUGUCAAGUUU